rnacentral:rRNA from 1 species
CCCUACGGGGUGCAGCAGGCGCGAAACCUUUACAAUGCACGAAAGUGUGAUAAGGGAAUCCCAAGUGCUCAUGCUUUGCAUGGGCUUUUGUUAAGAGUAAAAAUCUUGUCGAAUAAGUGGUGGGAAAGACUGGUGCCAGCCGCCGCGGUAACACCAGCGCCACGAGUGGCAACCAUAUUUAUUGGGCCUAAAGCGUCCGUAGCUGGUUUGGUAAAUCUCUUGUGAAAUUGUUGGGCUUAACCCAACAACGUGCAGGAGACACUACUGAACUCGAGACCGGGAGGAGUCAGAGGUAUUCCUAGGGGAGCGGUAAAAUGUUAUAAUCCUAGGAAGACCACCUGUGGCGAAGGCGUCUGACCAGAACGGAUCUGACAGUGAGGGACGAAAGCCAGGGGAGCGAACCGGAUUAGAUACCCGAGUAGUCCUGGCUGUAAACGCUGCGAGCUAGGUGUUGCAUAUCCCACGUGGAUGUGCAGUAUCGGAACGAAGGUGUUAAGCUCGCCGCCUGGGGAGUACGGUCGCAAGACUGAAACUUAAAGGAAUUGGCAAGGGAGCAC